AUCCGAUUUGUCUAAUCGUAAAACCCAACAUUCAAUUUAGCAGGACUUGAACUAUAAUAUCAAAGAAUUCUUAAUAAUUUUGUCAUAUUUCUUUUAUUACUGUGUGUUGUUAUUUAAUGUUAUUACUGGAAGAACUUUCUCAAAAAUGAAGUUGCUUUAUUUUCUGAUUCUACUACUGCCUUUUGUUGUUGCUGUAGUGAAUGGCUGUGGCAGUAUCGACGACCCUUAUCCAAGAGAGGACACAAUUUACUGUGCAACAAAUAGAGAUUGCCCCCUACCUAAAAGAUGCGUGUACUUUGACGAAGAAGACAAAAGGAUUUGCUAUUAGCCAACAAGGAAAAUGUGACACACCAACUGGUACAUCAUGCCUAAUUCAAUUUUGCAGUUACGUUCAUACACUUAGGAGAAAAUGAAUAAUUUCAUAUAAAAGUAGAGAACAAAAAAAUACGUUAAGGAGGUAAAAAUAUAUGUACUUGGAAGUGUUUAGGUCUAGAUCACUAAGAGCCGUCU